GCAAACUGUGCGGACUCGAGCGAGGUCUGCUUCGAGACUGCUUCAAGAGGAUGAUCUGCUUCGAGACUCUGAACCCGCCGUGCCUGCUGCUGCCGUGCGACCAGGCGCCCGAGAUCUUCGACAUCGCCGACCACUUCGCUGGGUCAGGCAGCGUCAAGGACCCGCCCAGGAUCCCCAUCAUAUGCAAGUCCAACGUCGACGCCAUGGAGCCGGCCCUCAAGAUCGCCAACGUCAACCCAGAUCCGUGCGCUACCUCCCUUUGCCGCCGGAUCCCCGUGAGGCAUGCUCAGAUCCGUCCGCCAACCGCUGGCGACGAUGCGUACGGCGCCACCACAGCCGUGCUCGAGCGCCUCCACCCCAACCCGCGCGCGAGCUACUAAACCCACGCCCCCACCCCAUUCGCAACACACAUUCCGGUAGUCCUCCUAGCCGACGUCGUUUCAAACCCGGGAGGAAACCCUAGCCCCACACGCCGGCGCGGCCACGAACCCCGGCCGAUCGGCGCCGAUGAGAGGCGGGAGGCGCGGGACGGGGAGAGUGCGGCGGGGAGGCGGCGGCGCCGCCGCCGCUCCGCCGCCGCGGGGCGAGCGCGCCGCCGGCGUCCAGUUCAUCGAACUCAGCGACGGUUCGUGAUACGGGGCGCCUAUGAUGUGAAGUCAGCAACGCAGCAACCACCGAAAGGAGAAAUUGCGGAGGGAUGCGCGGCAGAUGAUUUCAACGCGCCCCCAUGUGAUUCCACCAAGGAAGUUUCCACAAAGAACCUGGGACGUCUUAGAAAGCGAACAGCUGCUGGCGGUGCUGCAACUUCUGAGUUGCAUGAGGAUGAGCUAAAGGUUGCUGAUGUCAAGCUGAGCAAUGAUGAAGACUGGUCAUAAUGGGGAGUAUCAUAAUGCGUAAAAUGACGAGCGUGAUCGAGGCGUGGCGCCUCCUGGACUCCGUCCGUCGCCGCUUUGGCGACGACGUCCCCGCCGCUGGGCAGGAAGAGUGUUUCCACGCCUUCAACCUCCAUGUCCACGAUGUCGUACUCGAUGCCCACCUGCAAGGUCAGCCUCCCAUCCUCCCGGUCCUUCCCAGCAAAUUAAUCUGGACUUCAACCAUGAAUUAAACGUCCUGGUCUCUAAUGGGAACUUUUUUGUUACUGAACUUCGUAAUUGGUUUGCAUAAAAUCUGAGGUCUGUCUGACAUAUUUUACUUGACCACGGUUCGCUUCAGAAUUCUACUUUAUGUGAGCAUUACUUUCUUAGUCUAUCUGAUUUACUUGGAGGAGUAUUUAAUUACACGUAUGUGUAGUACAAGUUGUUAUUUCCUAAUAAUUUUGAUGGCCUCUAAGCAUCGUUGUUCAUGUCUAUUAUUAUUUAUGAAAGCUACAUGUCUUGGAGGGAAGUUGCGACUUGAGGGAGUGAGCUCCCAUUCUCUCAAUUUCUUGGCAUGGCCAUGCUUGCAGUACUGAUAAGACAUGCUUCAAAAAUGGAGGAGGGAGGACGUGAGCUGCUGCCUUGGUUCCUGUCCGCACCAGCUGCCACAGUAUGUAAUCAGGCCUCCACUAUCGUCCUCUGAAUUUUGGAUUACAUGCAUCUACAAGAGCGUGAGAGCUUGAGAGGGUAGCACAGUGCUACGUAGAAGUUAUUUUUCUCCAUGAAGUUGAUCAUGCGAAGCUGGUGCCAGAUAGAAGGUUAAUUGAGUUCUCAUCUCCAAAAUGUUUGCAUUCUAAGUAUCCUCUUUGAUUCAGUGGUUCAAUGAUGCUACAGUUCACUUGUUUUUCACCUCUUGAUGCUACUAUGCACAGAAGGUGUUUGCUAAUUUGCACAUUAAAAUUUUCUGAUAAACUAUGCUAAUAUCACAUGCAUAUGUAUUUUUUAGUGAUGUUCGAUUAUUAAUCCAUGUUACAA